ACACAGACCUGGUAUUUGAAUUGGAGACUCAAAAACGGAGAGAUGUUACAGAGGAACUGAAAGAAUUGCGAAGGACCAACGCACUGCUACAGAGAGCACUUUGCUCCAAAGUGUUUGAGCUCGAGUCAAGACUCCUGGAGCAGUGGCCUGGCAGCAGCACACCUCUAUCGCAUCUGACUGCCACUUCAAGUGCCAUGUUGCCCGAAUCUCCAGAAAAUGAACACCUUGAAGCUGGU